rnacentral:rRNA from 1 species
UACGAAGGGGGCUAGCGUUGCUCGGAAUCACUGGGCGUAAAGCGCACGUAGGCGGACUCUUAAGUCGGGGGUGAAAUCCUGGAGCUCAACUCCAGAACUGCCUUCGAUACUGGGAGUCUUGAGUUCGGGAGAGGUGAGUGGAACUGCGAGUGUAGAGGUGAAAUUCGUAGAUAUUCGCAAGAACACCAGUGGCGAAGGCGGCUCACUGGCCCGAUACUGACGCUGAGGUGCGAAAGCGUGGGGAGCAACAGG